CCCUGGCUCAGAUUGAACGCUGGCGGCAGGCCUAACACAUGCAAGUCGAGCGGCAGCACGGGUACUUGUACCUGGUGGCGAGCGGCGGACGGGUGAGUAAUGCCUAGGAAUCUGCCUGGUAGUGGGGGAUAACGCUCGGAAACGGACGCUAAUACCGCAUACGUCCUACGGGAGAAAGCAGGGGACCUUCGGGCCUUGCGCUAUCAGAUGAGCCUAGGUCGGAUUAGCUAGUUGGUGAGGUAAUGGCUCACCAAGGCGACGAUCCGUAACUGGUCUGAGAGGAUGAUCAGUCACACUGGAACUGAGACACGGUCCAGACUCCUACGGGAGGCAGCAGUGGGGAAUAUUGGACAAUGGGCGAAAGCCUGAUCCAGCCAUGCCGCGUGUGUGAAGAAGGUCUUCGGAUUGUAAAGCACUUUAAGUUGGGAGGAAGGGCAUUUACCUAAUACGUAAGUGUUUUGACGUUACCGACAGAAUAAGCA
rnacentral:rRNA from 1 species